rnacentral:rRNA from 1 species
GAUGAACGCUAGCUACAGGCUUAACACAUGCAAGUCGAGGGCCCGGCGCACGGGUGAGUAACACGUAUCCAACCUGCCCUUUACUCGGGGAUAGCCUUUCGAAAGACAGAUUAAUAACCGACAUAAAGGCUGGGGAUGCGUUCCAUUAGGUUGUUGGGGAGGUAACGGCUAACCAAGCCUUCGAUGGAUAGGGGUUCUGAGAGGAAGGUCCCCCACAGUGGAACGGAGACACGGUCCAAACGCCUACGGGAGGCAGCAGUGAGGAAUAUUGGUCAAGGGGCGCUAGCCUGAACCAGCCAAGUAGCGUGAAGGAUGAAGGCUUAUGGGUCGUAAACUUCUUUUAUAUAAGAAUCUGUAUUAUAUGAAUAAGGAUCGGCUAACGCCGUGCCAGCAGCCGCGGUAAUUC